rnacentral:rRNA from 1 species
UGGGGAAUCUUGGACAAUGGGGGCAACCCUGAUCCAGCCAUGCCGCGUGAGUGAUGAAGGCCUUAGGGUCGUAAAGCUCUUUCGCCUGUGAAGAUAAUGACGGUAGCAGGUAAAGAAACCCCGGCUAACUCCGUGCCAGCAGCCGCGGUAAUACGGAGGGGGUUAGCGUUGUUCGGAAUUACUGGGCGUAAAGCGCACGUAGGCGGACCAGAAAGUUGGGGGUGAAAUCCCGGGGGCUCAACCCCGGAACUGCCUCCAAAACUAUUGGUCUAGAGUUCGAGAGAGGUGAGUGGAAUUCCAAGUGUAGGAGUGAAUUCGUAGAUAUUGGAGAACACAGUGCGAAGGCGGCUCACUGGCUCGAUACUGACGCUGAGGUGCGAAAGUGUGGGGAGCAAACAGGAUUAGAUACCCUGGUAGUCCACACCGUAAAACGAUGAAUGCCAGUCGUCGGGUAGCAUGCUAUUCGGUGACACACCUAACGGAUUAAGCAUUCCGCCUGGGGAGUACGGUCGCAAGAUUAAAA